UCAAUUCAACAAGGUGUUUAGGGAGUUCGUUCCUCAGUGUGAAGCGCUCGCGUUGAAUUCAGCAAGGUUAAUUGUCUUGUCAAUAUUUGGGCAAAGCAUUUGCACCACAUCGUUCUGAGAAAACGUGAUGACGGGAUCCCUUAUUAUAAGAGGCAGAGCAUCUGCAAAUUUCGUCAGUGUGUUCCGGUAUCAAUAGCUGCGACAUCUCUUCUUAGGACGUUGUCGAAAUGAGGGUCCUCGUAACAAGCACGGUCCUGCUUGCUAUCCUGCAAGCAGCGGCAACAUUCACUAUCCUCGGCACCGGAGGAACGAUGGACUACGACUGGGACAGGUCCACCCAAACAUCGGACUACGGCUGGGACAGGACCACCCAAACAUCAGAGCCUACAGACACCCGCGUCUAUACGUACUGGGGGUUCCUCAGCACGAGGACCUCCGGCAAAAUGGGUCCUGAUACGAUGGCCUGGACCUCCUCCAGCUCCGAAGGGGUUACGGAACCGACCUUCGCCAGGUCCGAAGUGACCACGGACUCGACCUCCUUCAGCUACGGACUGGGCAAUGACCUCACCUUCUUUGGGUCCGAAGUGGCCACGGACUCGACCUCCUACGGCUCCGAAGACCACUAAUCCUGAUGGAUUGCUGAUGGCCUCGCUUUGGAGCACCGAAGACUGACCUGGCGCAGUUUCAAGAGAAUGCAAAUUUUGGAUUUCGGUUUUGGGGUGUUCGAUUGAACUUUUGAAAAGCUAUAAUCACGAUGGAGGACGCCAAUGAUAAUGACUUUAAACCAAUAUGAUGCCAAUGAUAAUGACUUAAAUAUAUGUUAUUCAAAUAACAA